AAUAUUGGACAAUGGGCGAAAGCCUGCUCCAGCCAUGCCGCGUGUGUGAAGAAGGUCUUCGGAUUGUUACGCACUUUCAGUUGGGAGGACGCGUUGUCGGUUCAUACCCUGCAAUUUGGACGUUACCAAUAGAAUAAGCACCGGUUAACUUCGUGCUAGCAGCCGCGGUAAUACGAAGGGUGCAAGAGUUAAUCGGAAUUACUGGGAGUAAAGCGCGCGUAGGUGGUUCGUUAAGUUGGAAGUGAAAGCCCCGAGCUUAACCUGGGAAUUGCUUUCAAAACUGACGAGCUAGAGUACGGUAGAGGGUAGUGGAAAUUCCUGUGUAGCGGUGAAAUGCGUAGAUAUAGGAAGGAACAUCAGUGGCGAAGGCAACUACCUGGACUGAUACUGACACUGAGGUGCGAAAGCGUGGGGAGCAAACAGG
rnacentral:rRNA from 1 species